UGCGGCCACGUUUCGGAGUUCGUCUGUCCUGGAAAACCAGCAAUAGUUAUCCCUUGCCAGGCUACGGUCAACCGUCGAAUGCCUUGUGGACAUAAACAAAAGGGUAUAUGUUCCAAGCCCAUUGAACGAUGUCUUCAGGAAAUAGUUCGGUCUCUUCCGUGCGGCCAUAGCAUCAAAACCGUGUGCUGGAACACGACUCCACCUUGCACAACCGUUGUAGAGAAGAUGUUGCUGUGUGGUCACAUGCAUCCUGUCCGGUGCAGUGAGGGGAUUGGUUCAAUAUUGUUUGCAACCAAGAAACCGAAGUACUCCAUCCACUUUGUUCGCACGUGCAAGUGGUUUCCAUGCUCAAUCGCGAAAAAUAAGUUUCAAUUGUGCCAAUGGAAAUGUAAAGCCGAACCGUUAAAGAUGCUGCAUUGUGGACACGAAAUUCGUCUUCCAUGUGCACAACAGAUUGACAAGAGCAUCACUUGCACAGCCCUGAUUAAUUACACAUUACCAUGCCAUCACAUGGUCACCAUUCGUUGCAGUGAGCAGGAGAUAAAAGCACAAGGGAAAUGUAAAAUCAAAUGUGGAUCACCCGUUGAUGGUGGACAUUAUUGUUCAUUACCUUGCCAUGACCGUAGAACUGUGCAUGCUUGUAAAGAAACGGUUUCAAAGCAGUUGAGAUGUGGUCAUACUAAGGACAUGCCGUGUUUCCGUGAGCCAAGCAAAGAAAUAUGCUUUGCACCCAUAUCGUUAAAACGUGCUUGUGGUCACGUUUUGAACGUCGUUUGUGGGGAAGCAUCUUCUUUGGAAGAAAACAUAUGUGGCGAGCUUAUUGAGAAACGGUUACCGUGUAAUCACCUGGCCCGUGUUGCGUGCUCUAUUUCUGCUGAAACAGUCUUCUGCAAUGCUCGAAUCGAGCAGCUACUAGGAUGUUGACACACUGUUCCUACGAAAUGUGGUGUCCCAUUGAAGAAGAGACUCGCAUUGACUUGUACUGUCGAGGAGGUAAAAGAAUUGCCUUGUGGCCACAUGUACCACUGAAAAUGUGGGUCCAAAGAGAGCAACAAACAAUUGAGCAGUGUCUUCUGUCGGAUUGAGGUGGAGAAGGUGAUCCCAAAAUGCGGGCACAGAGUAAAAAUCGAGUGUGGGAAAAAGCUGUCCAGGAAUGACUGUACUUCCAUGUGUGAGAAAAAACUACACUGUGGACAUCGCUGCAGGCUCCUUUGUCGAGAGCAAUGCGCCAAUUUCGGGAUCAGAACCAUACCCAGUAGUGAUCUGCGUAUACAAUUAAUCAUGUAUAACAAACACUAUAAUGUUGUCAAAAGAAAGCAAAAAGUACGUCUCUUUACCCGGUCAAUAAUCCAAAUGCAUGUUGCGGCCGUAAUCCACUCUCUUGCGUGCACAUUGCAUUCGAAGAACUCAACACGUUUAUUGGCAGAAAGAUGAGUGCUGAUGAUUAACUGAACAAUGUCACGACCCUCUGCGGUUGUCCCUCCAACCUUAGUCGACACUAUUGGGUUUGUAUUAGCCAA